rnacentral:rRNA from 1 species
GAUGAACGCUGGCGGCGUGCCUAAUACAUGCGAGUCGAGCGAACAGACGAGGAGCUUGCUCCUCUGACGUUAGCGGCGGACGGGUGAGUAACACGUGGAUAACCUACCUAUAAGACUGGGAUAACUUCGGGAAACCGGAGCUAAUACCGGAUAAUAUAUUGAACCGCAUGGUUCAAUAGUGAAAGACGGUUUUGCUGUCACUUAUAGAUGGAUCCGCGCCGCAUUAGCUAGUUGGUAAGGUAACGGCUUACCAAGGCAACGAUGCGUAGCCGACCUGAGAGGGUGAUCGGCCACACUGGAACUGAGACACGGUCCAGACUCCUACGGGAGGCAGCAGUAGGGAAUCUUCCGCAAUGGGCGAAAGCCUGACGGAGCAACGCCGCGUGAGUGAUGAAGGUCUUCGGAUCGUAAAACUCUGUUAUUAGGGAAGAACAAAUGUGUAAGUAACUAUGCACGUCUUGACGGUACCUAAUCAGAAAGCCACGGCCAACUACGUG